GUGCAGUCCAAUAAGCUGACCAGACGGGAUGUUGUGCUGCUCUGGUGUGCAAUGGCUGCGACAUUAACGUCUGUGGUUGUGUAUGCGCGUCGCUGUCAGUGCGGCGUGCUUUUAAGGGACCGCUGAGACAUUU